GGAAAAUUGUCCUGGUUUACAGUAUUUUUGGCAACGAAAUUUAGGCAGAACUGAAUUAAGUUUGUGAACAAUGGUUCACUGUUAAAAAAUUUUAAAACAAGUACAUGAUAUCUUUAUAGUUGCUCUGGUAGUGAUUUAAUUUUAUUUUUUCUUAUCAAAAUAUUAAUUAAUAUUUCUGUUGAUUAGAUUGAAAACUUCAGUUUGGUACGAUUUCUUCCACUAAAUAUCAAAAGUCACGAAAGUGUCGGAGAAAUCUUGCUUACAAUUGAUAAUGCAAUACAGUAUGGAGAAGAGCUUGAUGUUAAAAUUAAGUACCCAGAAGAAGAAGAAAAUAUGGAUGAUACAUAAUGUUCAAUACAUUCAUAAAUGUGUAUAUAUAUAUUUUCAAUAAAUUUAAUUUUAUACAUACUUUUUAA